UAUGGUCAUAUCACAUUGAAACACUGGUUCUUAUCUGGUCACCAAAGCUAAGCAAUGUUGAGCCUGGUCAUUACCUAGAUGGGUGACCAUUUGGGAAUUUCAGGUGCU